rnacentral:rRNA from 1 species
UACGGGGGGGGUAAGCGUUGUUCGGAAUUACUGGGCGUAAAGGGCUCGUAGGCGGCCAACUAAGUCAGACGUGAAAUCCCUCAGCUUAACUGGGGAACUGCGUCUGAUACUGGAUGGCUUGGAUUCGGGAGAGGAAUGCGGAAUUCCAGGUGUAGCGGUGAAAUGCGUAGAUAUCUGGAGGAACACCGGUGGCGAAGGCGGCAUUCUGGACCGAUAUUGACGCUAAGGAGCGAAAGCCAGGGGAGCAAACGGG